CGCUAUCACUCCUACGGGAGGCAGCAGUGAGGAAUAUUGGACAAUGGGCGCAAGCCUGAUCCAGCCAUGCCGCGUGAGCGAUGAAGGCCUUAGGGUUGUAAAGCUCUUUCGCUAGGGAAGAUAAUGACGGUACCUAGUAAAGAAACCCCCGGCUAACUCCGUGCCAGCAGCCGCGGUAAUACGGAGGGGUUAGCGUUGUUCGGAAUUACUGGGCGUAAAGCGCACGUAGGCGGACUAUUAAGUCAGAGGUGAAAUCCCCGGGGCUCAACCCCGGAACUGCCUUUGAUACUGGUAGUCUAGAGGUCGAGAGAGGUGAGUGGAAUUCCAAGUGUAGAGGUGAAAUUCGUAGAUAUUUGGAGGAACACCAGUGGCGAAGGCGGCUCACUGGCUCGAUACUGACGCUGAGGUGCGAAAGUGUGGGGAGCAAACAGGAUUAGAUACCCUGGUAG
rnacentral:rRNA from 1 species